UACAUACAUAUAUAGGCUACUAUACUCUUAUGAGUAUAAAUCUUUUUAGAUUCAUAAAUUUUGAACUGUUGGAUGAAGGAAUGUGCAGUUAGGAUAAUAGUGGUCUACUAAAGUUGAGUGAGCUGUUGAUUUAAUAAUAUGAUCUAACGGAUGAAAAUGAUCAAAAAGAUAGAUCUAACGGCUGAAAAUUUAUGAGUAUAAAAGAAUUUAUACCGAUAAAAGUAUAGUAACCAUCCGAACUCUAU
rnacentral:lncRNA from 1 species